GGGCAGUUAGUCUCAUGAUGCAAUCUUAGUUUUGUAGCUCACUGUAGCUGUUUCUAUUUUUUCCCAUCCUCUGGCUUUAUAUACCUUUCUUGGGUACAAAAAUGUAAUGUUGGAGAUGGUUUUGUACCUAUAAUCAAGCCAUCAAGCCAUGUAUCAUGAUGCUUAAGUUUUAUUUGUUUAAAAUAUAGUUCAGACUUGUGCCUAACUUUAACUUAACCAAUUAACAAAGAAAAAUUAAUUUGAAUAAUAAUUUUAUUUAAUAAUUGCAUUUUUAUUAAAAUAAUUGUUUUCCUAUUCCAUUAAUGUUUAUUUUUUAGUUAUUCAUAAAAAUAUUGAAUAGCAUAGUUUUAAUAAUGUCUUUAUAAAAUUGAUUUGUUAAAUAUGCAUUUUGAUCGUCCCACUAACCUUCAAACCAAGCUUAAAGGUUUUUGAGAUUAUUCAUUAAAAUGAAUUAAGCUAAACUUUAGGCUCAUGUUUGGUUUGUCUUAACUAAUGAGCUUGAAAGAGAAUUUUAAAAGUCAAGCUCUAUAUCUUGGUUCAUUUUUCAGCCUGAGGAGGGGAAGGAUGCCUCUUCUCUGCUGACCCCAGCCCCACCUUUUUUUUGUCGCGUACAGGAUUGGAUGCUUAGCUGUUUAAUCAAGCUCAUAACUCUUGCCCAUCAUCUAAAUCCCAAGUGUUCAAUUAUCUCUCACCUUCCACACAACUCUUUGAUAGCCUGUUAAUAUAAUUUAAGUGAUAAAAGCAAAGCACUAAUAGUCAAAACACUUAAGUAGGACAAUGAGCAAAAAAUUCAAGAGUUGAAGGAAAGAAAGAAAACCUGUGAUUUCUAAUAUAUGGUUUGUUUAUCAAAGAGUUUCUGGCCAUCAUGGGCUUCUGAUGCCAAUCAGAUAGUAACUAGUUUUAUCAUACAACAAAUUACCUGUGCGGCAGGUCAAUCUUGUUGUCUAAUGUUGUUUUGUUAUGAUGUUAGAUUUGGCUGCUAAGAAGUGUGUACCAUGCAACUCAAAGGAUUUGCGGCCUAUGAAAGAAGAAAGCGCAACUGAAAUGAUGUCAAAGGUUGGCGGGUGGAAUUUGGUGAAAGAAGAUGGUACACUGAAGCUGCAUCGAUCAUGGAAAGUAAAGAGUUUCACCAAAGGGUUGGAUUUAUUUCAGCUAGUAGGGAAUGUUGCUGAAACAGAAGGUCAUCAUCCAGAUCUUCAUCUUGUUGGUUGGAACAAUGUAAAAAUUGAGAUAUGGACUCAUGCAGUUGGUGGACUAACAGAAAAUGACUUCAUACUUGCUGCCAAAAUCAAUGGGCUUGAUCUGCACCACCUACUGAGAAAGAAGACUGCUACUUGAGAGGUUGAUAUGAAUUUUGCAAGAUCUGGAAAUGAUAUGAUUGUCUUCCAUACAUGGAGUAAAGGACUAUGCAUGGCAAACCAAAUGCAGGCGUUCAGUUUUCGUUUUGUUUUUCUUCCAAUAGAUUGUGCCUGGAUAUCUGUAUAAAUACUUCUUUUUUUAAUCUUAAUUUUCGACUCGUUACAAGCAUAAUGUCUGCUACUUGCAGCAUAAGCUGAUCUUAAUGAUUAAAGUCACAGCACAAGUUCAGAGGGUAUUGGUAACUUGAGAAUUUGCAGCAAGGAUUUCGUUAUUGUAUAUUUGCCUUAUUUUGAAGCUUCAGGCUGGUCUUGAGUGCUAAAAGGUGUCCAUCUCUCGACUUUCAAAUGGUAUCUUUAUCUUCCCAAUCUCACCUUAAGAUUGUACCCAUUGGUGAUUAACCCCUUUUUAAAAAUG
rnacentral:misc_RNA from 1 species